rnacentral:rRNA from 1 species
AGAGUUUGAUCCUGGCUCAGAUUGAACGCUGGCGGCAUGCCUUACACAUGCAAGUCGAACGGUAACAGGUCUUCGGAUGCUGACGAGUGGCGAACGGGUGAGUAAUACAUCGGAACGUGCCCGAGAGUGGGGAUAACGAAGCGAAAGCUUUGCUAAUACCGCAUACGAUCUCAGGAUGAAAGCAGGGGACCGCAAGGCCUUGCGCUCACGGAGCGGCCGAUGGCAGAUUAGGUAGUUGGUGGGAUAAAAGCUUACCAAGCCGACGAUCUGUAGCUGGUCUGAGAGGACGACCAGCCACACUGGGACUGAGACACGGCCCAGACUCCUACGGGAGGCAGCAGUGGGGAAUUUUGGACAAUGGGCGCAAGCCUGAUCCAGCCAUGCCGCGUGCAGGAUGAAGGCCUUCGGGUUGUAAACUGCUUUUGUACGGAACGAAAAGACUCUGGUUAAUACCUGGGGUCCAUGACGGUACCGUAAGAAUAAGCACCGGCUAACUACGUG